AUGACAAACUCUGCUGAAUCGGACUCAACCAAUUUCACUUAAUUUGACCUUUAAAAUAUGGUUAAGCUCAAUUAGGUGUGACCUGGCUCAAUUACCUGCAAUUGACAUAAAACAUAUCAGGUUUUUAUAUUUAUUUAGUUAAUUAUUAUACCAAUUUCAUCAAAAUCAUUAAAAACUAAUAAUAAUAAUUACUAUAAAAAUGCAAUACAUCA
rnacentral:lncRNA from 1 species